ACAGCCCUGAUAGAUAAAGAACAGUCCUGAUAGAUAAAGAACAGCCCUGAUAGAUAAAGAACAGCCCUGAUAGGUAAAGAACAGCCCUGAUAGGUAGAGAACAGCCCUGAUAGGUAAAGAACAGCCCUGAUAGAUAAAGAACAGCCCUGAUAGGUAAAGAACAGCCCUGAUAGGUAAAGAACAGCCCUGAUAGGCAGAGAACAGCCCUGAUAGGUAAAGAACAGCCCUGAUAGAUAAAGAACAGCCCUGAUAGAUAAAGAACAGUCCUGAUAGAUAAAGAACAGCCCUGAUAGAUAAAGAACAGCCCUGAUAGGUAAAGAACAGCCCUGAUAGGUAAAGAACAGCCCUGAUAGAUAAAGAACAGCCCUGAUAGGUAGAGAACAGCCCUGAUAGGUAAAGAACAGCCCUGAUAGGUAGAGAACAGCCCUGAUAGAUAAAGAACAGCCCUGAUAGGUAAAGAACAGCCCUGAUAGGUAAAGAACAGCCCUGAUAGGUAGAGAACAGCCCUGAUAGGUAAAGAACAGCCCUGAUAGGUAGAGAACAGCCCUGAUAGGUAAAGAACAGCCCUGAUAGGUAGAGAACAGCCCUGAUAGGUAAAGAACAGCCCUGAUAGUUAAAGAACAGCCCUGAUAGGUAAAGAACAGUCCUGAUAGAUAAAGAACAGUCAUGAAAGGUAAAGAACAGCCCUGAUAGGUUAAGAACAGCCCUGAUAGGUAGAGAACAGCCCUGAUAGGUAAAGAACAGCCAUGAUAGAUAAAGAACAGCCCUGAUAGGUAAAUAACAGCCCUGAUAGGUAAAGAACAGCCCUGAUAGUUAAAGAACAGCCCUGAUAGGUAAAGAACAGUCCUGAUAGAUAAAGAACAGUCAUGAAAGGUAAAGAACAGCCCUGAUAGGUUAAGAACAGCCCUGAUAGGUAGAGAACAGCCCUGAUAGGUAGAGAACAGCCCUGAUAGGUAAAGAACAGCCCUGAUAGGCAGAGAACAGCCCUGAUAGGUAAAGAACAGCCCUGAUAGGUAAAGAACAGCCCUGAUAGGUAAAGAAGUGCUUUUCUUCAGUCUACUUUAUUCUACAUUAUCUUGUAAAUAGUUGAUGGGUGUAUGUUGAUGCUUUGUGUAGUUUCCAGGAGCUUGUUCGCUUAUCUUGUUAAAAAGAGAUCAGGGAUCAUUUUCAGUUUCUCACAUAUUGGCUCAAAUGGGUUACUAUUUUUCGAUUCCCUCUGAAAAAUAAUUUAUUUAA